AUUCACGAACACGGUUGCCCAUACAUGGAAUGCGUGUGACACAUGGCUUGUGCACUUCUUUGACUAGAGGUCUUUCACAAUGGCUGGAGAAAAAUGGGCAAGGAACGUACGUUGGAUAGAUCUCCAAGGAAGGAGUAUGGGGCCAUUGAUAUUUAUGAUUCAUUAGGCCCCAUUAAAUAGUCGCUUUAGCUAAAAGUAAGCGUGGCAUGUAUCGUAAUUCUUCCCGAUUUAUAGCCUACUGCCCAUACUAGGUCCGAGGGGGUGGGGAAGAAUUUUUUUUAAUGAAAUGAGUGAAUCUUUUGCGUGGUCUUACACUAAAAUGGGAGGGAUUGAAGGGUCUAUUUAGCAAAAGAAAAAAAGUUUGUGGCAAAUAACAAUAUCUACGAAAAUUACGAGGCCUUAAUUCUCGUAGUGUUAUUUUCCUCUUGAGUAAUCACCAUUACCAAGGAACUAGAGCAAGGUUCUUAUCCUUGUACAUGAGGUAUCUUGUGCAUAGCUUCUUUAAUGUUGCAACCGAAUGCUUGUACAUGGACUGGUUCAAACGUGACCAAGUAGUUAAAUCUGGUAGUAGAUCAUUAGAGAAGUAACCAGCGCCACUCUCUCUGUUUAUACAACGGAGUCUCGGACAAUGAAUAAGAGUGUAAUGUGUAAUUCUUAUAAUAAACAUGUCUCCGAAUCCCUCCCUGGCACUCCCUGGUGAGCAGCGAGUCUCCCUCAGUUUCUUUCUAUUAUAAAUGAUUGUUGUUUCUUCUCGCCUUCAUAGUGACUAACUCUUUUCCUUCAUCUUAAUGCCUAUUGAUAUAAGGAAAGCAUCUCUUUUCGUGUCAAAGAGCGACGUCCCACGCGAUUACGACUAGGAGUCGCCUGAGAAGAGGAUGGUGUCGUUGGUUGAUGUAUACCAAGUAUGUAUCAAGUAAUUUUAACUUUAGUUUCUAUUUUUCACCAUAAAAAGUUAUCACCCAUUUAUUUAUUUAAUUUUUAAAGCUAAAAGAAUUAGUCAUAUAAACUUUAUUUUCUAAACCAG
rnacentral:lncRNA from 1 species